GGUUGCACAUACAACAGCCAGCGCAGGUGACACAAAGGGGACAGAGGUGACAGGUGAUAAACAGGAAAAUUGGUGACAAAGAGGUGACAGUGUCACAGAGGUGACAGUGACGCGGGUGACAGCCGCACCUGCUGCCGUUGACGCAGUCCCUCAGGGCGUGGAAGCGCAGGGUGGGGGGCAGCAGCGGGGGGUCCCCGGGCUCCGGUGGCCGCAGCGUGUCCCAAACGGUGACAAAGCCACCGCUGUCCCCGCUCACCAGGAACCGCCCGCUCCUUGGGGUCAUCGGGAUCAGUGUCACACCGUGUCCCCGCCCCCCGUCCCCUCCCCCACCUGGUCCCAUCCCGGUGUCACCCCAUCCUGGCCCAGAGACAACCCCGUCCCACCCCACUGUCACCCCAGCGUCGCCCUGUCCUGUCCUGCCAUCGCCCCAGCGUCACCCUGAUGUCACCUCCGUGUCACCCUGUCCCGUCCGCUAUCACCAGUGUCACCCUGGUGUCACCUUACCCCGUGUCACCCCACCGUUCCCAAUUGUCACCCUGCCGUCACCCCAUCCCUUCUUGUCACCAUGCUGUCACCCCAGCGUCACCUUGUGCUGCCCCAGUUUCACCCCAGUCACCUACGUCACCAUGCCCUGUCCCACUGUCCCCUCCGGUUGUCACUCCACUGUCUCCCAGCGGUCACCUCAUUAUCACCCCAGUGUCACUCUGUCCUGCCCCACUAUCACCUGUGUCACCCUGCUGUCACCACAGUGUCACCCUGUCUUGGCCCGCUAUCACCCCAGUGUCACCCUGAUGUCACCCUGCUGUCACCCUGUCCUGUCCUGCUGUCACCUCAGUGUUACCCCAGUGCCACCCGUUCCUGUCCUGCUGUCACCUGUGUCACUCCGCUGUGACCACGUCUUGUCCUGUUGUCACCCAGACAUCACGUCAGUGUCACCCUGUCCAGUCUCCCUGUCACCCCAGUGUCACCCUGCCUUGUCUUGUUGCCACUCCGAUGUCACUCUUGUACCACCCUGCCCCGUCUGGCUGACAUCCCACUGUCACCCCACUGUCACCAUGUCUUGUCCUGCUGUCACCCAACUGUCACCCCAAUGUCACAUCAUCCUGUCCUGCUGUUACCCUGCUAUCACCCACUGUCACCCUGCUGUCACCCAGCGUCACCGCGCCCCGUCCCGCUGUCAUUCACGGGUCCAGGUCAAAGGUCACGCGCUGGUUGGUGGCCACGCGCCGCUCCACCGCCAGCAGCACCUCGUCCGGGCGCCGCAGGUCCCAGCACAGGAUGCGCCGUGCCUGGGGAGGGGGGCGGGGCCUCAGCAAACCACGCCCA
rnacentral:lncRNA from 1 species